rnacentral:snoRNA from 1 species
GGUGUCCGUGAUGUCAUUUUUACCUACAUUGUUCGAUUUUUGCUGAGAAAAACCCAAAUCUGAGACACCC